UCAGAGUUCAGCCUCAGCUUCAGCCGAUAAUCUUCACUUCUUCAGUCUUCAGUCUUCAGUGGCCGAUGCCCUUGUCACUCAAACCUAGGUCCGAAACACCGACUACUGUUAAAACUCCUCAAACUGCCUUACUCGAAUCCCUUUCUCUUCAGCCCUGUUUCUCCGUUGUUGUCCUUUUCUACCUUCGAGUAAAGGGACGCUGCCAAAAGGUCGCCUGACGCCACCGACGCCGGAGCCGGGUGGUUUAGCUAUCAAGGAGGACAACAAUUCAUAGAAGGUGAAAAAAACAAAGAAUGAAGAUGUCAAGUACAGGGGAUAAUACAGCUACUACAGCUGCAAGCCCAAAUGUUGAUCAUUCAUCAUCAAUGGAUCCAACUAUUGUUGCUAGAGCCUCUGAAACUGAGACAUGUCAAGUACCACCUCCUCCAACAUCCGAGACAAAAGUGUCUACCAAGAGCAGUAGGUCUUGGGUUUCGGAGCAUUAUGUAGUUGUUACAGCUUCUCGAUAAUUUGAUUUGGAAGAAAGUAUAACUGAACUUGAAGAAAUGGAAUCGGGUUUGACAGUGGAGCAUUCUAUUAUUAAUAUUGAAGAUUGAUGAUUCUUGAAGAUUGUGCUCCUUCAUGUGUUGUAGAAGAUUGAGGUUGUUGAAACUAACUGUCAUGGCAUGGCUAGGGGAGGAAAAUGAAGACAGCUUCUCGAUUUAUGCCUAUUGCCUAGUCAAUGCAUUAUGCCAUGUUUACUGGAUUUGAGAAUGUCUAUAUAGUGUACAUUUUUCUCAUUUAUAUGCCCUUUUUGGAAGUUAUGUAUCAGAGUAGAUAUUUCUAACUUUAUGAUUUGGUGUGGAACUACUGCUACUGAUCAUUUUUGAGAUUUGAAUAUGCUGUCUUUGUCUAGUUUGAAUGAUA